UCCUAUGCAGUGGGAAACUGAUCAGUAUUUAUACCAGAUAUGAGUCUCUAUAGUACAGUCAUGGUGACCCUCAAUAUUUACAUCAGUCUACAUUCUUUUGUAGCCUUAUUCAAUCAAAUGUUUAAAAAAAAAUUAAAUAAUUGUU